rnacentral:rRNA from 1 species
UACAGAGGUCUCAAGCGUUGUUCGGAUUCAUUGGGCGUAAAGGGUGCGUAGGUGGCGCCGUAAGUCGGGUGUGAAAUCUCGGAGCUUAACUCCGAAACUGCAUUCGAUACUGCCGUGCUUGAGGACUGGAGAGGAGACUGGAAUUUACGGUGUAGCGGUGAAAUGCGUAGAUAUCGUAAGGAAGACCAGUGGCGAAGGCGGGUCUCUGGGCAGUAACUGACGCUGGAGGAGCGAAAAGCGUGGGGGAGCGAACAGG